GAUGAAGAACGUAGCGAAAUGCGAUAAGUAAUGUGAAUUGCAGAAUUCAGUGAAUCAUCGAAUCUUUGAACGCACAUUGCGCCCGCCAGUAUUCUGGCGGGCAUGCCUGUUCGAGCGUCAUUUCAACCAUCAAGCCCCGGGCUUGUGUUGGGGACCUGCGGCUGCCGCAGGCCCUGAAAUGCAGUGGCGGGCUCGCUGUCACUCCGAGCGUAGUAGUUACAUCUCGCUCUGGGCGAGCUGCGGGUUCCGGCCGUUAAAAGCCUUAUUUACCCAAGGUUGACCUCGGAUCAGGUAGGAAGACCCGCUGAACUUAAGCAUAUCAAUAAGCGGAGGA
rnacentral:misc_RNA from 1 species